rnacentral:rRNA from 1 species
CUACGGGACGCACCAGUGGGGAAUAUUGGACAAUGGGGGAAACCCUGAUCCAGCAAUGCCGCGUGAGUGAAGAAGGCCUUCGGGUUGUAAAGCUCUUUUAUAGGGGAAGAUAAUGACGGUACCCUAUGAAUAAGCUCCGGCUAACUUCGUGCCAGCAGCCGCGGUAAUACGAAGGGAGCAAGCGUUGUUCGGAAUAACUGGGCGUAAAGGGCGCGUAGGCGGCCACGUAAGUUUGAUGUGAAAGCCCUGGGCUCAACCUAGGAAUUGCAUUGAAAACUAUGGGGCUAGAGUGUUGUAGGGGAUGAUGGAAUUAUGCAUGGAGAGGUGGAAUUCAUAGAUAUGCAUAGGAACACCGGAGGCGAAGGCGAUCAUCUGGGCAACAACUGACGCUGAGGCGCGAAAGCGUGGGGAGCAAACAGGAUUAGAUACCCUUGUAGUC